CCAUUAGUUAGUUGGUGAGGUAAAGGCUCACCAAGGCGAUGAUGGUUAGGGGUCCUGAGAGGGUAGUCCCCCACACUGGUACUGAGACACGGACCAGACUCCUACGGGAGGCAGCAGUGAGGAAUAUUGGUCAAUGGGCGCUAGCCUGAACCAGCCAUGCCGCGUGCAGGAAGACGGCCCUACGGGUUGUAAACUGCUUUUCUGCAGGAAGAAUAUAUAGUCUUAGGGGUAUAUUGACGGUACUGCAGGAAUAAGCAUCGGCUAACUCCGUGCCAGCAGCCGCGGUAAUACGGAGGAUGCAAGCGUUAUCCGGAUUCAUUGGGUUUAAAGGGUGCGCAGGCUGUAAGGCAAGUCAGUGGUGAAAGCCCUGGGCUUAACUCAGGGAUUGCCAUUGAAACUGUUUUACUAGAGUGUAGUAGAGGACGGCGGAAUGAGUUGUGUAGCGGUGAAAUGCAUAGAUAUAACUCAGAACACCUAUUGCGUAGGCAGCUGUCUAUACUACAACUGACGCUGAGGCACGAAAGCGUGGGGAGCGAACAGGAUUAGAUACCCUGGUAGUCCACGCUGUAAACGAUGAUCACUCGUUGUUGGCUACUUAGUAGUCAGUGACCAAGGGAAACCGAUAAGUGAUCCACCUGGGGAGUACGUCGGCAACGAUGAAACUCAAAGGAAUUGACGGGGGCCCGCACAAGCGGAGGAACAUGUGGUUUAAUUCGAUGAUACGCGAGGAACCUUACCUGGGCUUAAAUGCUGGCUGCAUUGGAGGGAAACCUUCAUUUCCUACGGGACCGCCAGCAAGGUGCUGCAUGGUUGUCGUCAGCUCGUGCCGUGAGGUGUCGGGUUAAGUCCCAUAACGAGCGCAACCCCUAUCGCUAGUUGCCAGCAUGUAAUGGUGGGGACUCUAGCGAGACUGCCGGUGUAAACCGGAGGAAGGUGGGGAUGACGUCAAAUCAGCACGGCACUUACGUCCAGGGCUACACACGUGUUACAAUGGCCGGUACAAAGAGCAGCCACACUGGCGACAGGGCGCUAAUCUCUAAAACCGGUCUCAGUUCGGAUCGAAGUCUGCAAUUCGACUUCGUGAAGGUGGAUUCGCUAGUAAUCGCGCAUCAGCCAUGGCGCGGUGAAUAAGUUCCCGGG
rnacentral:rRNA from 1 species